rnacentral:rRNA from 1 species
CCUACGGGUGGCUGCAGUGGGGGAUAUUGCACAAUGGGGAAAACCCUGAUGCAGCGACGCCGCGUGUGGGAAGACGGUCUUCUGGAUUGUAAACCACUGUCCCCAGGGACGAAAAUGACGGUACCUGGGGAGGAAGCUCCGGCUAACUACGUGCCAGCGGCCGCGGUAAUACGUAGGGAGCAAGCGUUGUCCGGAAUUACUGGGUGUAAAGGGAGCGUAGGCGGGGAUGCAAGUUGGGUGUCAAAACUACCGGCUCAACCGAUAGUCGCACUCAAAACUGCAGCUCUUGAGUGAAGUAGAGGCAGGCGGAAUUCCUGGUGUAGCGGUGAAAUGCGUAGAUAUUAGGAGGAACACCAGUGGCGAAGGCGGCCUGCUGGGCUUUUACUGACGCUGAGGCUCGAAAGUGUGGGGAGCAAACAGGAUUAGAUACCCCAGUAGUC